CCCACUGUGUUCACUUGGGCAGCGUGUGGAACAAUACAGAGACGAUUAGUGUGGCCCCUGUGCAAGGAUGACACACCAGCCCAUGAAGCAUCCUAUAUUUUU